rnacentral:lncRNA from 1 species
UAAAGAAAAAAUUAACAACCCUUUUUGUAUUUCCAAAUGUUCUACAAUUAAUAUUCGACUCCUUAGCUUAAGCGCGUUCCAAAUGAGACGCUAUAUUAGUGCGAUGGUAGCUAGCAAGGUGUAAAUUUGGCCUUGCGAUCAUGGCGCGCGUUCUCAAAGGUCAGGGAACUUCUCCAUUUUUCGUCAGGGAAAACCUGGAAAAGUCAGGGAAAAUCAUUUCCAAAUUUUUGUGGCAACCCUGUAUAACUCUUAAAUGAUCCUCACAUUUAGUUGAUAACAACUGUGUUUCCUUAUCAUUAAAACAGGAUUUGGCAAUGGCCCCCAGAACACAAACUUUUAACGUUGCAGUAAAUAUUAAUUAAAAGUUAGCCAUACUAUAGCAUUGAAGUAUUUUCAGUUCAAAUAGUGUGUUUUUACCAUUUAUAACUUAUAUGUAUAUGUAACUCAUUUCUUGUUAAUUGUUACAAUGGGAUUAUUCGUAAGCAAUUUGUCUUAUUUUUCCUAUGAGAACAAUAAAUUCAGCAGUAAUUUUUAGAAAGGCUCCAAUCUGGAGGCAUGUGUCUUUUGUUUCAUUGAUACGUAUUCAUUCGUUUAUUUUCUGCUUGUUUUGAACAGAUUGAUUUGGACUUCAGAUUGUUAUAUCCUGAUAAAGCUAAUACAUUAUUCAGCAAUUGGCCAAACAUUGAAGACAAAAUUUUAGCCUUAGGCCGAUCACGAGUACAGCGGCCUUUAUUUGCUUCCGUUUUGAAGUCUUUGAAAAUUGACUUAACGCUCACCGAUCCACUGAGUAAAACACUGAAUGCAUUCUUCUUAUUCUCUGCAUUACUCCCUCCUGUAACUGUAAAGUGGGGAUGGAAACCAUCUAGAAUUGAAACAAAGAGGGGUUUCUUCAUUUAUGUCCGACACUUGAAGAAACAAAAGAAAUUUUUGAUGAGCGAAAUAAGAAACUAGAGUCCCAAGGGUACAGCAACCAGCCUGCCCUGUUGAUAGUAGGAGAGGCUCCCGAUUAUGCAGCUUACUUGAGAGUCAACAAGACGUACUAUGCUUGCGACUCCAUUUUGAAAGCAGUUGACCUCUGUUACAAAAUCUUCAAGACUUUGAAGGCCCCUUUUCCCCCGGACUGUCUCUUUCAUUGGCUUUUCUUAGAUGAAUAUGUCUACAAGUUUGAUUGCAAGCAUCAUCUAAAGUAUGCCACGCUUGGCAAUUUUAAAAAUGAUCUUGAUGCAUAGUCCCUCUUCAUAUUCUUUUCUCAUUUAAUUGGUUUUUCAGAAAUGAAUACAUAUAGACGUAUAUUUUUUACGAUCUUUGACUUGUGUUUUUAGGUGAAAUUAAGUUUGAUUGCAACCAUACUCUAAAGUAUGCCAUGCUUGGAAAUUUUGUAAAUUAUCUCCAUGCAGACGCGUUGUUUCUGUUUUCCCCCUAUGCAUAUAUUUCUUAUUUAAUUGGCUUUGCUUUGAUGAGGAAGUUUGAUCACAAUCAUAAUCUAAAGUAAACAUUGCUAGAAAAUUUUGUGAAUGAAGUGAAUAGUCUCCUUUUUCCCCUCGGCAUCUUGUUUAUCCUCGCGGUUACAUCUCCUUUUUUUUGUUUUGAUAAGAUGAGUGUGUAAUUGUUUGAAACUUCCUUCUUGU